UGGAAGGAAUCUCAGGCUGUGAGGUGAAGAUGUUUUAAUUAACAAAGUGUCACGUGGGGGGGGGGUCGCAGCUGGCUGCGGGGUUGUUCUUCCCAUGCAAAGACGGCUCCGGGCGACAGCGUGAAGAUGAAGAGGACGCCCUUUUUGCCUAAGUUUCAUUUCCCCGGAAGAGUCCUCCCACAGCCGGUCUCCAGUACAUAUAAAGUCCACCACGCAGGCUGGAAGUGUACUGGACGUAGGAGACAACAUGGAUUCCAAGAACUCCAAGAAUUGUAAUCUGGGAAAAGCUGGGUUCACCCCAGCCGGGGUACAAAAAGGAUCCCUUGCCGCAGGCAUGAUGUCCUUAGAAGCCAAAACCAACAGAGGAGGGCCGACACCAAAGGGCCCGGUGUCUCACCUUCAGUCUGCAGGUGCGGCCGGUCAUUGUGGAAAGACCAAGAAAUGAGCGAAAGAUAAAACCAUGAAAUAAAAAUUGGUCCAUUAAA